rnacentral:rRNA from 1 species
AACGAACGUUGGCGGCGUGCUUAACACAUGCUAGUCGAACGCGAAAGGGACUUCGGUCCUGAGUAGAGUGGCGCACGGGUGAGUAACGCGUAAGUAAUCUACCCUCGCAUCAGGAAUAACUAUGGGAAGCUGUAGCUAAUACCGGAUACGUUCUCCUAUUUACGGACUGGAGAAGAAAGAUGGCCUCUUCAUGGAAACUAUCGUGCGGGGAGGAGCUUGCGUACCAUUAGCUAGUUGGUAGGGUAAUGGCCUACCAAGGCGACGAUGGUUAGCGGGUCUGAGAGGAUGAUCCGCCACACUGGAACUGAAACACGGACCAGACUCCUACGGGAGGCAGCAGUGAGGAAUAUUGCGCAAUGGGGGAAACCCUGACGCAGCGACGCCGCGUGGAUGAUGAAGGCCUUAGGGUCGUAAAAUCCUGUCAGGUGGGAAGAAGUGGUUAUAGACUAAUACUCUAUUUCUUUGACGGUACCACCAAAGGAAGCGCCGGCUAACUCCGU